GAGCUGAUGGGGAUCUUGGAGGUCUUCUACCUUGGAGUUUUCUGAUGAUGUUGUCUUUCUGCUCAGCAGGAACAGAAGAAGGAAGAGGCAACAUAUGGCAAGCGGCUCCAUCCAGAAACUCCUGGGCCCAGUUGAGAUACUCCGAAGUCUCCUGCCUCCCAUAACCCUUAUGGUCAAAAUCUCCAGCAGCCAUCUCCCCACCCUUCCCAGAUUCAGGGAUACCACCAGCAUGGAAAGCAUUUCAGCCAUACAGGACAAACCAAAUGGUAGAAGAAUCCCAAAUUCAAUGCCAAUUCAAAUUGGAGCAAAACCCGGUACCAGCCAUACAAUAUGGCGCAGGGAUCACCGGUAUGCGGAUUGCCAGGCACACGGAGCACAAUAUCGGAGCUCAGAAAACUCAGGAAACUAUCUAGCCCAGUAUCCUCUCUGAUAAACUCACCUAUGAUCAGUACAACAGGGAACACAAUUACAGCAGACAACCAGACUCAAGCUUGCUGCAGGGCAAAAAGCUGAUGGGGAGAGUGCAAAAUGCACUCAAGCACCUGGACAACCCAGAAGCCAUGACAGAGGAAGGGCAGCUGCUGCAAACCGAGAAUUACCUCCUGGCUAUAGGUGACCAUAUAGAGGAUUGCUUAAAAAUCUACACUGACCUGGAAAUAUGGAAAAGUGCAAAAAGUUGAUGGCACCCUUAAAAAGGCACUGAAGAAGCCAGGUAAGACAACAACCAUAAAGAAAAUCACUGAAGCACAUGGACAAAUCAGAAAUGACAUCUGAAGAAAACCAGUGGAGGGAAACCUCGGGUUGCUUGCUUAAGACUCCUGUAUGCCCCACGGGAGAAGACUGGGAACAGGAGUACCUGGAGGAG